UUGGCUCCUGAGGCUCCUCGUUUCAGCUGGUGUCGUUUCAGAGCAGCCAGGUGCCCGUCGUCCUUGUGAUCUGGGGGCUCAUUGCGAGGCAGCUGCAGAGGCUUGGCACGUUUUCCCUUCAGGCCUGACCCCGUUAGCACUCAGAAGGGCAGGAGAGCAUAAAGAGAGCCAGAAGCUGACCUGGAGAGGAAGAAGGAAGGCAGUGAGAUGUGACUUGGAGGUGUCCAAAAACCCUUUCAUGGAUGUGGUGAGGGUUGCCUACCUAGAGAACAAAGCAGGAGGAGUACCUGGAGGAGUUUCAUGUGCUCAGGUGGAGCUGUUUCCUUCUGGAUAAAAUUCUUCUGUGACUGGCAUCUUGCACUCCAAGCUAAGCAGGGAAUCCACCUAAUACAUAGAGGGAACACUAUGUCUGAUCUCUUGUCUCUCACUCAAAAGGGGACCCCUUGAGCCUGGCCUAACCCUGCACUAUUGAUAUAUGAGCAGGACAUGUCUCUGCUGGAUUCAUCCAUCAAGCAACCACAAGAGGUGAUUUCUAGGGAUUAAUGUUCUGGUGGCUGUGUGCAGAGGUUGCAAGGAGGAGGGAUCGUGGCAGUAGCUGGUUUAUUGAAAAGACAGAAAAAUGAAUGUGACAGAAAUAGGGCCCUUAGCAAUGCAGAUAGCUAUAGAUCAAUGGGUGGGUUGCUUUCAGUGCCUCUGUUUGCUUUCUGCAACACCUAUCUGUAGAAAACAAGGAAACACAGUUUUUGACAAGGCUCUGACAAGGCUGGUUGUGUUAUAAGGAUUUGUUCCCAGUCUCUCACAACCAAGCCAAAUGUAACCCUUGAGGUUGAGACUCGCUGUGGUGGAUGUCUCUGGUGGUUUGGAGUGGGGGAGCUGAAUUUAAUCUGAAGCAGCUCGGAAAGGGUUUCUCAGAAUGAGGCUAGAGAAAAGGAAACAGAUGUAUCUGUGGUUUAAAAUUGACUUGCAGUGCCUUUCUUUGAGACGAUCUAAAGCUUCUGUGGAGCAGUGACUAGAAAUUUGACUGGAAAGGGCCCCUACUGCAGAGAAUAUUUCUGUCGUCUUCUGAAACACUGCCCCAAUCUAGCCAGACUGUAAGCCCCCAAAGAAAACCAGAGUAAAUCUUAUUUUCACACACCCAACAGCAUUUUCUCAGAGUUUACCAGCCAAAUUGUCUGCCUAUCCUUGGCAUGCAUGACCACUGUGUAUGACCCAUCACAACUGAGCAAAGAAGUGUGCAGUCCUGAGCUUCGUUUUCCUUGCAAUUUGCUUAGUGGUGUGGGGCUACAUGUGGUGCUGGCACCAUAGGAGAAACCACAGAACAUGGAUCAUGUGAAUACAUCUGAGAGGCAUACAGGCAAGUUUAUUUUGCAUUUCACUACUGGCCAAAAGCAUUUAGAUGGACUUAGAGCUUCGGGCUUAGAGCUUUCCUUGCUGAGCAAUGAGAAAACUCAGUGAAGUAGAGAGAUUUGUUAUCACAGGUGAAAUAAAUCCAACUCUUUGUUUAGCUCCUGACAUGAAAAAUAAAGUGAAUAUUUCUCACUGA